rnacentral:rRNA from 1 species
UACGUAGGUGGCAAGCGUUGUCCGGAAUCAUUGGGCGUAAAGCGCGCGCAGGUGGUUCCUUAAGUCUGAUGUGAAAGCCCCCGGCUCAACCGGGGAGGGUCAUUGGAAACUGGGGAACUUGAGUGCAGAAGAGGAAAGUGGAAUUCCACGUGUAGCGGUGAAAUGCGUAGAGAUGUGGAGGAACACCAGUGGCGAAGGCGACUUUCUGGUCUGUAACUGACACUGAGGCGCGAAAGCGUGGGGAGCGAACAGG